GUGGAGUAUGUGGUUUAAUUUCGAAGCAACGCGAAGAACCUUACCAGGUCUUGACAUCCCGAUGCUAUUUCUAGAGAUAGAAAGUUACUUUGGUACAUCGGUGACAGGUGGUGCAUGGUUGUCGUCAGCUCGUGUCGUGAGAUGUUGGGUUAAGUCCCGCAACGAGCGCAACCCCUAUUGUUAGUUGCCAUCAUUCAGUUGGGCACUCUAGCGAGACUGCCGGUAAUAAACCGGAGGAAGGUGGGGAUGACGUCAAAUCAUCAUGCCCCUUAUGACCUGGGCUACACACGUGCUACAAUGGUUGGUACAACGAGUUGCGAGUCGGUGACGGCGAGCUAAUCUCUUAAAGCCAAUCUCAGUUCGGAUUGUAGGCUGAAACUCGCCUACAUGAAGCUGGAGUUACUAGUAAUCGCGAAUCAGAAUGUCGCGGUGAAUACGUUCCCGGGUCUUGU
rnacentral:rRNA from 1 species